rnacentral:misc_RNA from 1 species
UUUCCGUAGGUGAACCUGCGGAAGGAUCAUUAACGAGUAAUGAUCACUCUGUCCCGUCCUCCUACCCUUUGUUUAAUUACCUUGUUGCUUUUGCGGCCCCGUUUACCGCCCGCCGGAAGUCCUCGGGCUUCACGCCCGUGCCCGCCAAUAGCCUUCUACAAACUCUUGAUCAAUUGUGAUGUCUGAGUAAUAAAUUUAAUAGUUAAAUCUUUCAACAACGGAUCUCUUGGUUCUG